AUUGAACGCUAGCGGGAUGCCUUACACAUGCAAGUCGAACGGCAGCACGGACUUCGGUCUGGUGGCGAGUGGCGAACGGGUGAGUAAUGUAUCGGAACGUGCCCAGUAGCGGGGGAUAACUACGCGAAAGCGUAGCUAAUACCGCAUACGCCCUACGGGGGAAAGCAGGGGAUCGCAAGACCUUGCACUAUUGGAGCGGCCGACAUCGGAUUAGCUAGUUGGUGGGGUAACGGCUGACCAAGGCGAUGAUCCGUAGCUGGUUUGAGAGGACGACCAGCCACACUGGGACUGAGACACGGCCCAGGCUCCUACGGGAGGCCGCAGUGGGGAAUUUUGGACAGUGGGGGGAACCCUGGUCCAGCCGUCCCACGUGUGCGAUGAAGGCCUUCGGGUUGUAAAGCACUUUUGGCAGGAAAGAAACGUCGCGGGUUAAUACCUCGCGAAACUGACGGUACCUGCAGAAUAAGCACCGGCUAACUACGUG
rnacentral:rRNA from 1 species